rnacentral:misc_RNA from 1 species
GAAACACUUUGCAUGAUGCCAUGCCAGCGACUUAGCACGUUGACCUUCAGGUUUUGAUGAUAUGCGUACCUCCCCUUUAACAAUCUUUUGGUUGCAGUGCCGACAGGAAGCACGCGAGGCUGGAGAUACUUCAAUACCACAUUCCACUGCAGCCGGAGGAGGGAUGUUUGAGGAUCCACCAGUCUGUACAUAUUCCCUUAUCUUCUGCUGAUCCUCCCACCGCAACUGGUCAACCCCUUCAACAUCUUCAAGGGAUUUUAUCUGUUUUGCUUUCCUCAAGAUGCAGUUAGCAUGAUGCCACAUCGGCAUUAAUCCAUCAAAAUGAGUAGAUUGGACCAUUUUUCCAAUUCUGAAAACUUCUUUGUCAAUAAUACUUUUGCAAGUUUUGCAUGCUGAACGAGAUGAUUUUGCAUACUCAGCUUUCCAUGGCUUCGGAGGAUUCGCCAUUUCCGCUACAAUUUGCUCUUUUGGGUGUUUGUAUGUUCGUUCCUGCUUGGCUCUCUCUAUGUGUCGCUGUUGAUGCAGAUUAUAUAUGGUGGAAUCAAGAGUGGUGUCACACUCGCCGGAGUGACGCAAGGGGAAUUUCUUGAAUCUUU